GCCAGUAUAGCAUAGUGGUUUGUGCACUGGAUUAUGACUCUGGAGAUCAGGGUUUGAGUCCCAACUCAGCCA